rnacentral:rRNA from 1 species
GUGGCGAGUGGCGGACGGNUGAGUANUACAUCGGAACGUGUCUGAUAGUGGGGGAUAGCCCGGCGAAAGCCGGGGUAAUACCGCAUAUUCUCUACGGAGGAAAGCGGGGGACCUUCGGGCCUCGCGCUAACAGGGCGGCCGAUGGCAGAUUAGCUAGUUGGUAGGGUAAAAGCCUACCAAGGCGACGAUCUGUAGCUGGUCUGAGAGGACGACCAGCCACACUGGGACUGAGACACGGCCCANACUCCUACGGGAGGCAGCAGUGGGGAAUUUUGGACAAUGGGGGCAACCCUGAUCCAGCAAUGCCGCGUGUGUGAAGAAGGCCUUCGGGUUGUAAAGCACUUUUGUCUGGGAAGAAAUGGCUAGGGCUAAUACCCUUGGCANAUGACGGUACCAGAAGAAUAAGCACCGGCUAACUACGUGCCAGCAGCCGCGGUAAUACGUAGGGUGCAAGCGUUAAUCGGAAUGACUGGGCGUAAAGGGUGCGCAGGCGGUUUGCCAAGACGAAUGUGAAAGCCCCGGGCUUANCCUGGGAACUGCAUCCGUGACUGGCAGGCUAGAGUAUGGCAGAGGGAGGCAGAAUUCCACGUGUAGCANUGAAAUGCGUAGAGAUGUGGAGGAAUAUCGAUGGCGANGGCAGCCCUCCUGGGCCAAUACUGACGCUCAUGCACGAAAGCGUGGGGAGCAAACAGGAUUAGAUACCCUGGUAGUCCACGCCCUAAACGAUGUCAACUAGUUGUUGGGGAAAUUGAUCCUUA